CAAAUGUUCUUUCCCUCCCUGCAGCAGCACCUUGGUGGUUGUCGAGCAGCACGUCGCGCUUGCGCAGCCUCGGUCACGACGUUGUCCACCCCGGUGAGCCCCCUGCUGUCCCCGCUUGCUUGCAUCCUUUGUAUUCGUUGAAGGGACUGAAUCGAUAAGCUACUAUCAUUUCUCGUAGCUAACCAUUGGUGUCAUACCUAACAUGUCAUGUGUUCGACGAAAUGCCUAAACAUGUAGUCUGUCGUCGUCGUAUCCACAGUCAAUUUUAGUCAUGGUGAGCCGAUUUACUUUUGUUGUUAGUUGGUUUGUUGGUGAAUUGAAUAUGUAUUAGUCACGAUGGUUUUCUUGUUCAUAGCGUUAGUGUGUUGUGUGACGAUUUCUAGAUCUGUAGCCGUAGUUUUGUGCUAAUUUCAUAUGUGUUUAGUAUGGGAGAGAUAUUCCAGGUGUUUAAUAACUUGGGGGCAUAGUCCUAGCGUGACGCUCCUCAUGUGUUCGGUGAUACACGUAAACCAGAUAGCGUCGUUGAUUUCAUCAUCUCAAGUCAAAUUUAGUUUUGGUGUGCAAUGAAGUAAUCUCCUAAUCUAUAAGGGUUUCCUGUGUACUGAUCCUCCACAACCUUUAGGGAAGUAUGGGUCGAAAGUGACUAAAUUGGUUCUAUAUGUUAUAAGUGGUCUAUCGGUGAUGUGUAGGUUGGGUUUAAUGUCUUAAGCAACUCACCGAUAAGGACUACAUUAAAUGUAUUGAUUUUAUGAAGCUGAAGUUCUGUCUUAGUCCUCAUUGUCUUCUAAUGUUUAGUUUAGUUCUAGAUUGCUUAUGACUUUAUUUUAGUCUAGCCGAGUAUGACUACUCUUUCGUUUAUUACACAAGUUCCUUAGUUAAUUGCUAGGCAAGUGUGAUGAUAUGUUGUAUGAAAUAUGCUUGGUGAACGCAUAUGCAUUGAUAUGAUUGUGUUAAUAAACCAUGAAGGGUAGAGUUUUGUUUAUGGAUAAAUUACUUAUACAAAGAACAUGUUAACACUUGCUGUUUGGACUGCAGGUAUCGUUUUAGUUACGUAGGUAAUUGAGUGAAGUAAACCAUGUUUUCUGUAAACGUGUUAUAUAGAAAAGUUAUAGAUAACUCCUUUAUCUUGCUGGUGCUAAAAUUUCAUGACCAUAGGUCUAGUAGUUUAAAAGAUAUGAUUUUCUUAAGUCCAGUUUCAAAAUCUGUCUAAAUUCUGUACAGGUUUUGAAAAUUGGAUUGUUUGGCUAAGUUAAAUUGAGAAUCAGUCAUUAGUAAUUAUAGGAGAAUUGUAGUACUUUCCUUAAGCUUUCUAACAAAUUUUGGAUCACCCUUUUUGGUGAUCUAUAAAUUAAGUUACAACUGUUUGAGUUAGGAUCUCUGAAUCUGUCCCAAUUUGGACAGCAGAGCCUUUCUCAUGUUUUCUGACCUUGAUAUAUAUUAAAUUAACCUGGGAUAUUUAUAAAUGAAUUGUAGAUAAUUCUAUUAGCUUUCUAAAAAUUCUAGUAUCACCUGAUUUGGAUGUCUGAAACUCCAGUUAUGAAUUUUUGAAGUAAGUAGUCGAAUUCUGUCCAAAUCUGGACAGAAUUUACGUUUAGCAUUGUUUGACCAUUCUAAGUGUCACGUCUCACUGUGAUGAUAACACAAAAGUUGUAGAGGACUUUAUAAGCUUUCUAAAAAGUCUUAGUUUACUAUUUUUGGAUGAAGAUUGUGUAAGUUAUGUAUAAAACAACUAGCUACUGUUCUGCUGUCCAAAAUCAGCAAGGAUUAAAAUGAUUACUUGGAGUUUCUUUUGUAAGGAUACCUAUAUUUGGUUAGUUCUUGAUUGGUUGAUUGAUAGUCUUGUGGUUUUAAGUGUGACUUAAGUACCUUGUAAUUUUGUAAUAAAGUUUAGGUUAUAAAUGCUUGUGUUUCAUAAAAGUUGAGUAUGAUUAACUCCAAGUGUGUGAUUGUUAUGGGGUCAAAGUUAGCUAGUGUUUGCUCAUAGGAAUAGUGAUGCUUUGUCUGAAGUAUUUUGUCCUCUUCAGUUAGUUUAUCUAUUUGGUGUUAUUUAUGUUUGUUCUCAUUCAUAUGCAUGAUGCAUAUCAUAUAGGUAUGCUAAUGAUCGAGAUGCGAAGGCCAGGGUCUAGGUUGACCCCAAGUGGUGCAAAGGAUGGCCUACUUCGAGAGGCGAUGUCGGCGGACCAAUCUAGAAGAUUGAUGAUCUCUACAUAAAAACAGGAUUACAUUGAUUCAACUCUGAUCUGGUGUUUGGCAUUUGUUUUCCCUCUACAUUAGUUUCUCAUUAUUAUAUUUGUAUAGAUUCAUAUUCUUGAGACUAACCUAAUCAACAUUCAUUACAUAAUAAUAUUAUAAGGAGGAUUAAUUUCAUAUACAAUACUAUAUAUAAUGAGAUGAAUCAUUUGGCCUUACGAUAUGUGUAAGAAAUAAUGCUUUGAUAAUUGGCAGCCUAUCAAGAGUUU
rnacentral:lncRNA from 1 species